UUAUAAUCAUUUUCAAUCUCCUUAUGUAAGAAACACACUUAUAUGAUUUCGAUCGUGUUGCUCCUUCAGAGAAGAAACGUUCUAAAAUUUUCGAUUUGGAUUCCAAACUUGAGAAGAGUCUUUUCACCCCCUUCAGAGAGAUCAAGGUCAAGGUUCACUUAGUGUCCUUUGGAAAAGAAUAAUAAUUCAACCACCAGAAAAUGAAGAUCUGCAACAUAUAGUCAAAGUGAGGUAUCCUGAUUUGGAGCUUCAUGCAAGCGAACUUAUAGGGAUCUCUUAAAAUGGUGUAAAAGAGUUACUGGAGUUACUUCAUGUGUGUAGCUUGUAUUUCAUCUCGGGCUGUUGAUGUAUUUGCGGCCUUUCCAGCUUCAUUUGAUAACCGGUUAUCAAUAAUGAAAGAGAUAGGAAAGUUGUGGAAAACAUGGGAUUCUGCUGCUGAGACCUUAUAUCCCCUCGACAAACCAAUAUAUCAGGAUUCUGUCGCAGGUUUAAAAAUAGGCCGGAUUGAAAUUGGCUUGGUUGGUAUCCACAUUGCAAUAUGUGCUUAACUUCUCUUGUUUGUAAACUAUUGUAAUGCUAGCACUUCUUGUGCUUUUCUUUAAUUUGGCUUUUUCCAAAAAAGAGAUGAUGAACAACACGCCGACACCGUCGUCCAACACGCCGGUCAAGCCGUUGCUGAAGGCGCCAAAAUCCUUCAGGAUCGCAUUGCAGCUAGGAAUUAUAGAAGUGUUGCACAGACAGUUAAAAGAUUGGAAGAAGCUGCUAUUUCGCAUAGGGGACCUGAGAGAGUGCAGUUGCUUAGGAGAUGGCUUGUUGUCCUUAAAGAGAUUGAGAAUUUGUCUAGAGCAUUGGCGGAAGGUAAAGAGAAGACUCUUGAGCAGCACCUUGUCGUUGAAGAAAUAAAGGAGAACCCACAAAGACCUUCUCUGGUUCUAUUGACAACAAAUGCAGAUGUGUUGAGAUUCAUGGAAGUAAGGGUGAGAUCUAUUUGAAUACGACAGAUUGGUGACAAAUUCAGUAGUAAACAUAGACUGAUAGUAAACAGAGUGAAGUAGAUAAACUACUACAAUAAAAGUUUAGAUGGCAUAAAACUAGGGCCAAUAGAAAAGUGAGGGAAUCAAUUGUCAACUUACGCCUGUCUCAAUAAGCCAGCCAGAAAGCGCAUUACUCCAAUUGUAAUUGAACCAUGAGUUUAGGUCUGUGUGAAAGGGAUCAGAGUUUUCAAGUAAAUUGGAUUAAGUAUAGACCAUGGAAAAUUAUUACAAAUUAAGGCUUUUCGUUGUAAUUGCUUAUGCAAUCUUUUGUUAUUGUUUCAGAUUCAUUGUGACUAAUAAUGGAUCAGGUUAUAGUGUGGUUGGUUUGAGGUAAUGAGUCAAGUGCUUCACUUUUGAGAACAUACCGUGAUUUGAGUUAUUGAAUUUUAGGAAAUGUUUGAAUGUAGGAUGUUUGGACUGAGAAUGGGAAUGAAGAUAUAGAUCGCGCUAUUGCAUUGUCGCUCGCAGAAGAAAGUCAGAAAGCGAAAAAUGUAAAUGAUCACAAGUCACAAUUAGAAGAAGAUGAACAACUUGCCAGAGCUAUAGAAGAAAGUCUAAAUUUGGAGUCACCUCCCAAACAUGGAAAUGAUAACAAUACGACGUAUCAACCAAUUCAGUAUUUCCCGAUGGGGUACAAGUAUCAGUUUGAUGAUAGCAAUGUGCAUUUUGAUUCCCACUUAUUUGUGCUGGUCCUGUUUAUUUUAUGAUCAAGGAUAUUGUUUAUAGGAAGGGGCUGGUGUAACUGAACCAGAAUGUAACUUUUUCGCUGAAAAACGGCUAGAAUUUAGUUUACGUCGUUCUUCAUCCUUUUUAUUCUUUUCAAAUAAAUUGUACCGAACAUUAGCUGAAUGAAUACUGCUGGAAUAAUAAGUUUAAUAAAAUUUCUCUCAAACUGACGGCUACCUCCGCCGAAACCUCUCUAACAAACUAAACCCCGCCGCAGCUCCUCUUCUCCGCGACUCACUUCCGGCGUCCAAUCACCGCCACUUCCAGAUAACAGCUUCCGCAAAAAUGGAAUCCUCGAAGAAUCAAAACGAAUCCCUCUCUUCCAUUGACGAAGACGAUUCUAACAAAUGCACCGAUUUCUACGAUAUCUAUGGUCCUGAGGCUAAAGCAGAUGUUGUUUUCAAGUCACCAGAAGAAGAUAGAUCAACUCUGAAUCUCCGAAUCCUCACUCUGAGUUUUUCGGCUCCGGUUUUUCUCCCCCUUUGCAAUGGAUCUUAGAUUUUCACUUAUAGGUGUAGAUUAGAGAUUCCGAUUAGGAAAAUUAUUGAUUUUACGUUUCAAAAUUUAUGAUUGAUUUUCGAUUUGGUUUAUGCGUUAGAAUUCUGAGUUAGGAAAUUAGAGAUUCAAUUUGUUACAAAUUCUGAGUUGUAAUUUGUAUGUAAUUUGAUCUUGAUUCAAUUUAUGUUUGAUUUCCUUUUCCGAUUUUGUUAAGAUUUCUCUGUAAUAAAGUUUUGAUGAUGAAAAUAAAAUCUUUCCUUUUUGAAUUUCAUAAUUUCUUUGUUCUGGGCUUGAAUCAGUAG